rnacentral:rRNA from 1 species
UACGGAGGGUGCAAGCGUUAAUCGGAAUUACUGGGCGUAAAGCGCACGCAGGCGGUCUGUCAAGUCGGAUGUGAAAUCCCCGGGCUCAACCUGGGAACUGCAUUCGAAACUGGCAGGCUUGAGUGCAGGAGAGGAGGGUGGAAUUCCUGGUGUAGCGGUGAAAUGCGUAGAUAUCAGGAGGAACACCGGUGGCGAAGGCGACCUUCUGGCCUAAUACUGACGCUGAGGUACGAAAGCAUGGGGAGCAAAC